AAACUUCACAAUGGAGGCAACUCCGAUGAGGGAAUUCCAAGUGCUAGCACAUUAGUGUUAGCUUUUCUUAAGCAUAGAUAACUUAAGGAAUAAGGGCUGGGUAAGACGGGUGCCAGCCGCCGCGGUAAUACCCGCAGCCCAAGUGGUGGUCGAUUUUAUUGAGUCUAAAACGUUCGUAGCCGGCUCAUUAAAUCCUUGGGUAAAUCGGAUGGCUUAACUAUCCGAAUUCCGGGGAGACUGGUGAACUUGGGACCGGGAGAGGCAAGAGGUACUUUUGGGGUAGGGGUAAAAUCCUGUAAUCCUAAAAGGACCACCGGUGGCGAAGGCGUCUUGCGAGAACGGAUCCGACGGUGAGGGACGAAGCCCUGGGUCGCAAACGGGAUUAGAUACCCCGGUAGUCCAGGGUGUAAACGCUGCAGACUUGGUGUUGGGGACCCUUCGGGGGUGUUCAGUGCCGGAGAGAAGUUGUUAAGUCUGCUACUUGGGGAGUACGUCCGCAAGGAUGAAACUUAAAGGAAUU
rnacentral:rRNA from 1 species